ensembl:lncRNA
CUGCACAAUUGGGAAUUAGCAGCAUUAGUAUUUCCAAAUUCUUAAAUUUGUUUUUGUUUGUUUUUGAAAAAUUACUCCAUGGGCCUUCAAUCACGAUGGAGAGUGUGGUACAAACCAAGAGAAGGGACAAAGGAAAGUUAAGAUGGCAGAGAGAGGACAGCAGUCGCAUGAAGAAGAACCAAAGGAAAAAGACAGGAUGGACAGACAGUUCAAACAUGAGACAUUCUGUAUGGAAUCCAGGAAUCAAAGACGGAGGAUUUCCUGGCGAUACCUUGAACAGACUUAUACUUUCAACAGAUCAGGACAUCACAAACCCUUUUCUGAUGAUACAUCACGUCACUGACUGGACACAGACAACUGAGUGUGUGAGUACCAGCAACAUGUUCAAGAAGGAUUUCUACAACUACACUGGUUGAAUCUGUUCCAAAUUUUCUUGACCACUCACAUGGCAGAACGAUGCCAGGGUCAGAUCACUUGGCUUCACAUCCCAUUUCCAGAUGAAUCAUCGACAGCAAGAUGAGAGGAGAGUCCUGAAGGACUCCACGUACUGCAGAUCAGAGUACCACAGGGCAGUUGACUGGAUAGGUCACAUGGUCCCAUCACAGUAGAAGACACUGUUGUGGUGUAAAUCUUGAAUUAGUGAAGUUUUGGAAACUCACUACUCCACUACACACCUACACUGACUUGUUAGAACAACCAG